rnacentral:rRNA from 1 species
GUAGGUGGCAAGCGUUGUCCGGAAUUAUUGGGCGUAAAGCGCGCGCAGGCGGUUCUUUAAGUCUGAUGUGAAGCCCACGGGCUCAACCGUGGAGGGUCAUUGGAAACUGGAGAACUUGAGUACAGAAGAGGAAAGCGGAAUUCCACGUGUAGCGGUGAAAUGCGUAGAGAUGUGGAGGAACACCAGUGGCGAAGGCGGCUUUCUGGUCUGUAACUGACGCUGAGGCGCGAAAGCGUGGGGAGCAAACAGGAUUAGAUACCCUGGUAGUCCACGCCGUAAACGAUGAGUGCUAAGUGUUAGGGGGGUUUCCGCCCCUUAGUGCUGCAGCUAACGCAUUAAGCACUCCGCCUGGGGAGUACGGCCGCAAGGCUG